AGCGAACGCUGGCGGCAUGCCUAACACAUGCAAGUCGAACGAGACCUUCGGGUCUAGUGGCGCACGGGUGCGUAACGCGUGGGAACCUGCCCUUAGGUUCGGAAUAACUCCCCGAAAGGGGUGCUAAUACCGGAUAAUGUCUUCGGACCAAAGAUUUAUCGCCUUUGGAUGGGCCCGCGUUGGAUUAGCUAGUUGGUAGGGUAAAAGCCUACCAAGGCGACGAUCCAUAGCUGGUCUGAGAGGAUGAUCAGCCACACUGGGACUGAGACACGGCCCAGACUCCUACGGAAGGCAGCAGUGGGGAAUAUUGGACAAUGGGCGAAAGCCUGAUCCAGCAAUGCCGCGUGAGUGAUGAAGGCCUUAGGGUUGUAAAGCUCUUUUACCCGGGAUGAUAAUGACAGUACCGGGAGAAUAAGCUCCGGCUAACUCCGUG
rnacentral:rRNA from 1 species